rnacentral:rRNA from 1 species
AAUGAACGUUGGCGGCGUGGAUUAGGCAUGCAAGUCGAGCGAGAAGUUUUCUUAGCUUGCUUUGAAAACGGACAGCGGCGAAAGGGAGAGUAACGUGUGGUUACGUGCCCUCGGGUUCGGGAUAGCGUCGGGAAACUGGCGGUAAUACCGAAUAAUAUCUUUGGAUCAAAGGUGUGAUUCCGCCCGAGGAUCGGACCGCAUACUAUUAGCUUGUUGGUGGGGUAACGGCCUACCAAGGCUGCGAUGGUUACCGGGUGUGAGAGCAUGGCCCGGCUCACUGGGACUGAGACACUGCCCAGACAUCUACGGAUGGCUGCAGUCGAGAAUCUUCGGCAAUGGACGAAAGUCUGACCGAGCGACGCCGCGUGCGGGAUGAAGGCCCUCGGGUUGUAAACCGCUGUCAGUUUGGAGGAAGGGUCUGUGAAGAGCAGAUUUUGACCGAUAUUCAGAGGAAGGACGGGCUAAGUUCGUGCCAGCCGCCGCGGUAACAC